GAUGAACGCUGGCGGCGUGCCUAAUACAUGCAAGUCGAGCGAAUGGAUUAAGAGCUUGCUCUUAUGAAGUUAGCGGCGGACGGGUGAGUAACACGUGGGUGACCUGCCCAUAAGACUGGGAUAACUCCGGGAAACCGGGGCUAAUACCGGAUAACAUUUUGAACCGCAUGGUUCGAAAUUGAAAGGCGGCUUCGGCUGUCACUUAUGGAUGGACCCGCGUCGCAUUAGCUAGUUGGUGAGGUAACGGCUCACCAAGGCAACGAUGCGUAGCCGACCUGAGAGGGUGUUCGGCCACGCUGGGACGGAGACACAGCCCAGACUCCGACGGGAGGCAGCAGUAGGGAAUCUUCCGCAAUGGACGAAAGUGUGGCGGAGCAACGCCGCGUGAGUGAUGAAGGCUUUCGGGUCGUAAAACUCUGUUGUUAGGGAAGAACAAGUGCUAGUUGAAUAAGCUGGCACCUUGACGGUACCUAACCAGAAAGCCACGGCUAACUACGUGCCAGCAGCCGCCGUAA
rnacentral:rRNA from 1 species